rnacentral:lncRNA from 7 species
GAACCACAGAGUUUUAGAGGAAAAAACAACUACAACAAAUUCAACUUGCUUCACUCAGAAGAUGCCUGAGGACAACUUUUGUCAAGAGGAAUAAACCUCACCAUCCAGGUAAAAGUGGACAAGCAGGAAGCACGUUAAGACUGGCAUCUUCCCCUAGGAAAGAAAUCCUUUUGAAAAGAGCCGGCCUGUUGCCACCAUGCUGAAGUUUCUGUAACUGAGAUGCAGCUGUGAAAUGAAUGGCCAAGAUGAAGGCAUUCAAGUGCCUCAAGGGCCACUCUGAAGUAGAAGAGAAAAGUAAACCGUGAAUAACCAGGAAAAAGAGAGAAAAAAAUAACCCAGAUGGAAGAAUACAGCUUGCAAUGAGGAUGUCUCUGUGACACCAGCUGAUGGCUUUGCUUGCUUAGAAAGAGAAGAAAGAACACAAUUAGAAGAAACUACACAACUUCGUAAAGUCAAAGCCUUUCCACCCCUUGUCUUCCCCUCCAAGUACUUUCUGUGACACUUCCAUUGCUAGCUGGCUGUCGCCAAUUCCUCCCUAUCCUUCCAGAUCUUUUGAGCUUCUUACAUCCAUACCUUGUGCAGCUGUCUUGUCUUCAGUGCAAGGAAUCUCAACAUCUACACAAAGAAGGUAUCUCAAAAAUUAUUGCAAUAAACAUCUACAAAGGAUUCUUACUGCAGAAUGAAGUGAUAAAGUUAAUGAAAAUAUGAAAACCAUGGACUAGAGUUCUAAAGAUCUGUCUGCAAACAUGCAUGCACAGUUUUUAAUUUUUAACUGUAAUCUUCCUGCAUUUUAUGAGUUUUUUAGGAACUAUGUAGAAUUCAGCCUUUACUGAUCAGGAAAAAAUAUUCUAGGGAAAAUCUUCUGAAAAAUUUAGGGCUUCUUUACACAAGAAAAAGUAACAAUUAUACUGGAAUUUGGUCUGUGAUCCAUUACAGGAAAAAGCCUCUCAACAAUUCAGUUCAUAAAGGAGCUGAAAUGAGUUAAUCUACAUUCACAAGAAAACAAGUGGACUGAGCUGCUUUAAUUUUUGUACUGCCUUUUGUAACUGCACAGGAAUUCAAGACAAAGGCAUAUUCUAGAUCUCCGCAUAUAGAAAAUCUCAUUGUAAGGGCUUCCACACACAAGGUGCGUGAUGGUAUAUGUGGGGAGUUAGAUGUCACUUCAGUAUUUACAAAUCUAGAUCAAUCAACAGAUGUAAAAUUUCCAGUUAGGUUUUUAUCUGAGUCUUGUUAAUAAUAAACUUUUUAAAGCAACUAUUGUCAAUGAUGAAGAGAAAGGUAGGUUGAACCUACAAAAUAAUGCUAUUAAUUGUACAUGUGGUAUUUGAAAUGAAUGUAAGUUGGCAUAUAUAUCUGGAUAUGUAUCUUUAGAUGAGGGAAGUCUAUGCCAAAGGAAAGUUAUUUCUUACAUAAAUCACUUGAAGGCAGGUAACGUGUGAGUAACUCUUGUCAUACCUUGGUCCUGGAUAAGUGGCAUAAAGAAAAACCAGGAUAGACAUUUGACAGCUACAGGACACACAUGAAAUAAUCAGACAUGACUGUUAUAAGAGUUCACAAUGAAAAUGUUAGAUCUUGCAAAGGACUUGAAUAAGCUGACUAAAACUCCAGAAAUAUGAGACAAAGCUAUGAAGAAAAAAUAUUUAUAUGAAUUAGUAAUUAUUGUGAGUUCUGUUGAUUUCUCAUAAUUGGUGCUGUAUUUACAGUGACAGCUUCUUCUCAGCAUGAAAAAGCAAACUUACAGUUUAAAUACUCAGGAUCUACCUCAUAUUUAGGUGUAGCCUUUCAAAAUGUACAGUUUGUAUAUUAUUUUUUAUAUUCCCUGAAUGCUUUAAUGUCUUUCUCUAUUUCUAGCAGUGUUAGCCAGGUUGUUUCUUUUCUCCUAGCUAGAAAUUGUGAAGUUGCAGUGAAUUAUGUUGUCAGUAAAACUGUAAAUUUUUGUAGAAAUGUACAACCUCUUUUUUUUCCUAGUUAUCACUCAAGAGAUGCCCUUACAACUAUUUGUUUCUUUAAUGCUUUUAUAUACAUUAUUGCCAGGCUGACUGACAGUAACAAAGAUAAAACAACAAAGAAAAGAUAAAUAACAAGAAACAGAAAAUAAAGGAGAUAGUACAAAAAGCACUGGGAGCUCCAGUAGACCACAAACAGGGGCGGAUGAUGAAAUUGCUAACUUGCAUAUGAAUGAGCUCCAAAGGAUUCUUCCUUGUUGUUCACACUUGCAUUUGUCUACAUGAUUGAAGUAAUUUGCAUAACUGGAAGGUAAUUUCCUGCUAAAAGCCGUGAUAAAAUGCUUUGAUUGCCCUGUGUAUAUCUCAAUGCAUGCGCUACUCUGGAAAAGUCAGAAGUGUGAUAAUGAAGUAGCAUUUUGAAGUCCAUAUACAAGCAAAGAAUAAAUAAAAUGUUU